rnacentral:piRNA from 1 species
UGUGAUGUUUCCUCCAGAGAGCCACUGC